rnacentral:rRNA from 1 species
AUUGAACGCUGGCGGCAUGCUUUACACAUGCAAGUCGAACGGCAGCGCGGGCUUCGGCCUGGCGGCGAGUGGCGAACGGGUGAGUAAUACAUCGGAACGUGCCCAGUAGUGGGGGAUAGCUCGGCGAAAGCCGGAUUAAUACCGCAUACGACCUGAGGGCGAAAGCGGGGGAUCUUCGGACCUCGCGCUAUUGGAGCGGCCGAUGGCAGAUUAGCUAGUUGGUGGGGUAAAGGCCUACCAAGGCGACGAUCUGUAGCUGGUCUGAGAGGACGACCAGCCACACUGGGACUGAGACACGGCCCAGACUCCUGCGGGAGGCAGCAGUGGGGAAUUUUGGACAAUGGGCGAAAGCCUGAUCCAGCAAUGCCGCGUGUGUGAUGAAGGCCUUCGGGUUGUAAAGCACUUUUGGCGGGAACGAAAAGGACUGUGCCAAUACCACGGUUCGAUGACGGUACCCGCAGAAUAAGCACCGGCUAACUACGUG